rnacentral:rRNA from 1 species
AUUGAACGCUGGCGGCAGGCCUAACACAUGCAAGUCGAGCGGAUGAAGGGAGCUUUCUCCUGGAUUCAGCUACGGACGGGUGAGUAAUUCCUAGGAAUCUGCCUGGUAUUGGGGGAUAACGUCCGGAAACGGGCCCUAAUACCGCAUACGUCCUUAUGUAGAAAGUCGGGGAUCUUCAGAGCUCACCCUACCAGAUGAGCCUAGGUCGGAUUAGCUAGUUGGUGGGGUAAAGGCCUACCAAGGCGACGAUCCGUAACCGCUCUGAGAGGAUGAUCAGUCACACUGGAACUGAGACACGGUCCAGGCUCCUACGGGAGGCAGCAGUGGGGAAUAUUGGACAAUGGGCGAAAGCCUGAUGCAGCAAUGCCGCGUGUGUGAAGAAGGUCUUCGGAUUGUAAAGCUCUUUAAGUUGGGAGGAAGAGCAGUAAGUUAAUACCUUGCUGUUUUGACGUUACCAAAAGAAAAAGCACCGGCUAACUUCGUG